rnacentral:lncRNA from 12 species
AACAAAUUGAAUUAAUUCUUGUGCCUGAAUGUGAAUGUAGAGCCUCAGAAAGGGCGAUGCUUUGCAAAUUUAAGACAGAAAAUAUUUGUAUCCUUUAAUAGUUAAACAUCCCUGUCUCUAAGAAGUACUUUUCUGAGGGCAGAUGUGUGCCUCGGGCAGGCCCACCAGGGCUGACUUAUUCAUUAGACACAGUAGGCACGUUGCUUCGGGCCCACAAGACUUGUAGGGCCCCAAGGAAGAGUUUUAAUUUUCAUUUCUUUCAGAAUCAGAAGAAAAAAAUAUAUAGUAUUAUAUAGUAUUAUAUAGAAUAAUGAAUCCAGCCCAGAUUAAUUUAUCUUUGUAGCAGCACAAUCAUAAAAUGUAAUUUUUAAACUUUUUUUUUUUUUUAGAUGAAGGGCUCAAGGCCAACAUGCCAGUGGCCCACUAGUGUCACAGUGUAGCCCCCGUGCGCCCAGCUCACAGCCCUACAGGGUUGUGAAGGGGACCCAGUGGCGGGCCAAACCCUGUCCCCGCCCUACUGGCGGUGCACCGUCCCCAAAUCCCCGUGCCACGUCUUGGAGCUAAUCCCCUGAGCUGCUGCCAUGUUCGUCCAGAUGGAUCCCCUGUGCUGCGUCCUGGAAACUUUCCUGCUCACACCAUGGAGCUGCGAUGCGGCCUGCUGCAGCCCCUGCUCCUCCCUGUCUGGGAAGGUUUGGGGCCCCCAUCGCUGCCUUCCUCUCUCCAGCUUCCAACGGCUGAAAAAAGGCUCACGAGGAGGGAGUUGAUGAUGAAAGGACAAUACCGACUUCAUUACCGGAGCAGCCGAAUGGGAAAAUGAAAACAGAUUCCCACACCCCAGGGAAUGAUUGCCCUCGGUGAGGGGCAGCACUUGGAAUGGGUUGGAGCCACCCCUGGUUAGGUGACUGGCUGGUACAAGCUAGCCAAUCAGAGUCAGUCCCUGGUACAAACCAACCAAUCAGAGCCAGUCCCUUACCCAGCCAGUCACACUCACCCCAAUAAAUUCACCACCCUGACACCA